GGACGCAAGUCUGAUGGAGCAACGCCGCGUGAGUGAAGAAGGGUUUCGGCUCGUAAAGCUCUGUUGGUAGUGAAGAAAGAUAGAGGUAGUAACUGGCCUUUAUUUGACGGUAAUUACUUAGAAAGUCACGGCUAACUACGUGCCAGCAGCCGCGGUAAUACGUAGGUGGCAAGCGUUGUCCGGAUUUAUUGGGCGUAAAGCGAGUGCAGGCGGUUCAAUAAGUCUGAUGUGAAAGCCUUCGGCUCAACCGGAGAAUUGCAUCAGAAACUGUUGAACUUGAGUGCAGAAGAGGAGAGUGGAACUCCAUGUGUAGCGGUGGAAUGCGUAGAUAUAUGGAAGAACACCAGUGGCGAAGGCGGCUCUCUGGUCUGCAACUGACGCUGAGGCUCGAAAGCAUGGGUAGCGAACAGGAUUAGAUACCCUGGUAGUCCAUGCCGUAAACGAUGAGUGCUAAGUGUUGGGAGGUUUCCGCCUCUCAGUGCUGCAGCUAACGCAUUAAGCACUCCGCCUGGGGAGUACGACCGCAAGGUUGAAACUCAAAGGAAUUGACGGGGGCCCGCACAAGCGGUGGAGCGUGUGGUUUAAUUCGAAGCGACGCGAAGAACCUUACCAGGUCUUGACAU
rnacentral:rRNA from 1 species